rnacentral:rRNA from 1 species
CAAUAGCGUAUAUUAAAGUUGUUGCGGUUAAAAAGCUCGUAGUUGGAUUUCUGCUGAAAACGACCGGUCCGCCCUCUGGGUGAGUAUCUGGCUCGGCUUUGGCAUCUUCUUGGAGACCUGGUAUGCACUUGAUUGUGUGUCCAGCUAUCUAAGACUUUUACUUUGAGGAAAUUAGAGUGUUCAAAGCAGGCCUCGGCCUCUGAAUACAUUAGCAUGGAAUAAUAAGAUAGGACUUUGGUGGUCUAUUUUGUUGGUUUGUACGCCAAAGUAAUGAUUAAUAGGGAUAGUUGGGGGUAUUCGUAUUCAAUUGUCAGAGGUGAAAUUCUUGGAUUUAUGGAAGACGAACUACUGCGAAAGCAUUUACCAAGGAUGUUUUCAUUAA